rnacentral:lncRNA from 1 species
UUCAGUCCAAUAGUUUGAAUCUCUUCCAAUUGCCCAAGCAUUGACUAUGACCUUGCUUUUGGCUGGUAUGUUAUAGCCAUGUAUCUCACAUGUUUGACCACAUUCUCUUGGAAGCAAAAGAGGAAUUGGAGGGUGUAAUCUCAAGGUCUCUUUCACAACUAGUUUCAAAUAUUUGAGUUCAUUGAUGCAAUUUUCAUCAACCCUUCCUUUCAUGUUGAAUACCUCUCUAACCUCAGCUUGCGCAUGUUUCAUUACUCUUGAAUUCUUCAUUAUUUCAGCCAUUGCCCAAUCUAUGGUUGUUGCUGAUGUCUCACCUCCAGCAGCAAAAAUGUCCUUAAAAAUAGUUUAUCAAUCAAAAGGCUAAAAGUAAGGAAAUAAACAGACUGCAUGCUUCUAGAGUUUUUAGGCAAAUGUUUCACUACUUCCAAAAUCUCACCAGUGAAAAAUAAGAUAUAGAGGGGAAAAGUGAGGAAUUUAGAAUCAUUUUGAUUUCAUACUCUCUUUUUGGUUUUAAAAAUUGUUCUCCAAAGAUUCAUGCUAUACAAUAAUGAGUUUCUCCCCUAGAAUGUGUUAAGUUUUGAAAAUUUCUUCCAAAAAAAGUGUUUUAGAAACAUAAAAUAGAAACACCCAGGAGAUGUUUUCUGAUUCAGUUAUUCUGUUUUGGGAUCUUAGCUCAUCAGAGCGAGUCAUCGGCACUGGUAAUGUUUGGGUGAGGUAUGAACUUGGUGUGAGUGUCUAGUUUCUUCAUAUUUUAAAAACUAAAUCAGUUUAUGAAAAAUAGAAAUCAAACUCAUCCUUAUUAACUAAUUCCACUUUCAUAGCAAGUAUGAGAAAGAUUAUGAUCAUAAAAUGUAUUUGCAAGAGGUUAUGAUCCAUACCAGAAUUAUAGCCUUGAUGUUGUUCCUAGUUAAAGAAAAAUCCUGCUUGCUACCCUCCUCAUAUUGUAUGAGAACAUCCACAAGAUCUUCUGCUUCCCUUUCGUAAUCAUUGGCCUCUGACUUUGCCUCUUUAUGCUCAUUGAUGAUGUUUUCCAUUAUCUGAUCGGCUUGUUGAUGCAAGUUCUCAAGCUUGGGCCUCAUGCCAGUGACAUGUUGCAGCCAAGUAGCAGAAGGAAACAAAUCUCCAAUAUCAAAACCUCCUGCAGCUUUAAUCAAUUUUUUAAUCACUAAUAUGAAGUUUUCUUGGUCUUUGUAUUUCUUGCCAAAGGCAGACCUUGAAGCAAUUGAAUAAAUUGAUGAAAGUACAGCUUGAGUGAGAUUGAUGGGGGAUCCUUUCUUUGAAUCUAUCCAUUUGACAAGAUUGGAGAGCUCCUCUUCUCUAAUUGGCUGGUAUGAGUUUACACGUUUUAGGCUUAAAAGCUCCAAUGUGCAAAUUUUUCUUAGCUGCCUCCAAUAUUCUCCGUAAGGAGCGAAAGCUAUAUCUGUGGAAUUGUAACUCAUUAUAUCCACAGCUAGGACUUUAGGCCUUGUGGCAAAGUUAAUAUCAUGGGUUUUCAUCACUUCCUUAGCACACUCAGGGGAUGAAAUGACAAUAGUAGAAAUCUCUCCAAGUUGAAGAUGCAUCAAAGGUCCAUAUUUUAAGGCCAAAUCUCUUAAUUUUAUAUGGGGUUGAGAGAAUAGCAGAUUGUAUAUAUUUCCUAUAAUAGGUAGCUUUGUAGGCCCAUGAGGUAUUUUAGAAGUUGUUUCAUCUGUUUUCCUGGGUUUCUUUCCAAUUUUCUGUACUACAAGGGUUAAGAAGAUAAAGAAGAUAAGAGCUGGAAAGUAGAGCACUAGUUGAGCCAUGGAAAAGAUGCAGAUUUCUAAUGUCAGUCAGCUGCUACUAGUGCUUGUUUAUAUACACAUUACUUAGCAUUCUUAACUACGUUUGUUGGUACCUUGUCAUCAUCUUGGUUUCUCCUAUAUAGGGACUUUUGUGUAUGAUUGAUUUCUUCUCUAUGAAAGUGCCUGCUAUUUUAAAUUUUACAAGGAAAGCAUUUAACCUUAGUUUGGUACAAUUGGAGUUGGUUUCGUUUAGUUCAAUGAAGUCAUUAUCUUUGAACCCACGAGUCCUUUUCAUGAAUAAUUAGACUAACAGACUAUAUUUAUGGCAUGAGAUAAUCUCUGGUUCAAAACAUCAGGUAAUUUUUUUCUUUGCUCCAAAAUUUUUAAUAGUUGAAGUUAUGUGAUUUUUACAAUACAAGAGUGAAAGAAUGAGAUUUUUUCUGACAUAGAACUAUUUGUGCUUUUUAUUUCUCAAAAUUAAGGCCAUGUCAUUUAAUUUUCUAUGGGUUGAGAGAAUAGCAAAUGAGCUGAGACUCUAGGGUAGACGGAUUGAAGGAAGAAGUGGUUUUAUAGGGUGGCCCUAGCCUUGUACGAACACUAAAUAUGUUUAUAAUUUUAGAUGAACAAGAAGUGAGAAAACAAAAAGGCAUGAAUAUGAAAAGUAUAAAGUAUUAUGACAUAUCUAAAUCUGACACAUUAAAAAAUAUCAUUAAAUAAAAAAUGUUACUAACAUCAUUUGGUAACACUUUAUCAAAUGUUAGGUUACUAAGGACUUUUAGCAAUAUUUUCACAUAUCAAUAAAAAUAUUAGUAAAUACUUUUAGUAAAAUUUAUUUAACAGUAAGAUAACACUUUUAAAAUGUUGCUAAAAAUUUUUAGUAAUAUUUUUAAUAAAAAUGUAACAUUAUAAAAAUGUAACAUUAUAAAAAUGUUAUUAAGAAUCUUUAGUAAUUUUUUUUUUCAAUAAAGAGACAUUUUAAAAUUGUUAUUAAAAAUCUUCAGUAAUAUUUUUCUAAUAAAGUAAGAUUAUAAAAAUGUUGCAUAUAAAUAUUUUGUAACGUUUACUAAAUUGUUUAAAUAGAAAGACAACAUUUUUAAAUUUUAUUCAUUUUUUAGUAACAUUCUGUUACUAAAUUGUACAAUUUACUUAAAAGAUAUCACUAGUAUAUUUGUAUAGGAAUAACUAACUCUAUAAGGGGUUUAAUGAAGUUUGAACUCAAAUCGUGAAGAAAGCCAAAACACAAUGUCUAACUGGCUAAGAGAGAAUAAAGCAAAACAUAUUUUAUACACCUUGAGCUAUGUCCAGUUCUUGUAUAUAUGAACAAACUAUUUAAGUGAUUCCAUUAAUCACAAGGAUUACUAAACAAGUAAACAAACAUCUCCAAAUUAUAUCAAGUACAUAAACUUCUUCAACUUAUACCAGACUUAAUCUCCUCGAGACUAAGACCUCUCAAGAUUCAAGAAAAACAUUCUCAAAAAGACUACAAGGUAAGCUUAUAGGGUAUACGAUAAUUAUUUUAUCUCAAGUGUACCGAGUCAAAAGUAAUAAUUUAUCCUUAAAAAAUAAUAUCGAACUCACAAAGAACAGCUAAAUUUUCAAGUAUAAUAUUCUCUAAAUAUAAGACAAUAUGUAAAAGUUUGUUAAAAGAUUUAGUGUAUGAUGAAUUUGAAGUUGAAUUAUAACUAUUUGGCCGAUUCUCCCUGCCCCACAAUCAAUUCUUAUUGGCACCCAAUUGACCGUGUGAAAUGUCCAUAACACCCUUAAUGAUCCAUGCGAAAUGACCAAAACACCUUGAAAUUAGGUUUACACUUAAGUGCAUCCAACCCAACAGCUAAGCACAUUCAUUGUUCUAGACAUUGAGGCACACACACGAAGCACUCUUGCGGAACUCUUACACACACACGAAGCAUGAUAGUGCAUUUUGCAAAUUCACGUCCAUAUCCAGAAGCAACCACUUCAGUUCUAAAUCUAGAUAUCCAUAAGGUUUAUCCAGAAGUUACAAUCAUAUUCUUGAACCACUUGUUCACGAUUUCUUGUAAUUUAUCAUAUCCACACAUGUAUGUUGGACCACCACUGUGACUGCAACACUCAAGUACUCUUGGAAUAAUUAAUAUCUUUUUCGCACGAGCCUAAAUAUUAAGUUAUUGAAAACAUUAUGUGUAUCCAAAAUAUCAUCUUAAAACCAAAUGAAAUCAUUAAUAUAAUUCAUGCAAACUCGUGUGGAAAACAUUAUCUGUAUAAACUAGUCUACAUAUAAUACUUGUCCAUCCAGCAAAGAAUAUUAAAUAAGAAUCAAGGAAAAAGUUUAGCUAGAAACCUCAAUAACUACCUCUUACGGAUGUGGUGUAGAAAGCAUGAUGAUGUCUUUCGGAUAAAAAUGUUCGUAGUCAAAGAGUGCUAGUUUUGGAUGUCUUCUGGAUGUCAAUAUUUAUAGGCAAAAUUGACACUUCUGGAUACCAAUAUCCGUAGGUAAAAUUGACACUUUCGGAUGUCAAUAUUCGUCGGCAAAACUAUCACUUUCGGAUGCCAAUAUUCAUAGAUAAAUAUAUCACUUCUAGAUAUUGGCAUCCGUAAAAAAAUGUGUGAAAAAGGGUAGAAUGGAAUUUUAAAACUUUCGUUGGUGCCAAUCAAAAUUGAUUUAGUAUAGAAAGAAUUUCCUAACUAUUUUAUCAAUUAAAAUUCAUAAGUACUUAUAUUUUUAUAUAAAAUAUUACUGAAUUAUGACAUUUAUCAGUAUAAUUAACUGAUCGAAGAAUUUACAAUGAUUAAGCACGUAAUCCGAUUUGACUAUACACUCUAAAAGAAGAAAUAUUAACUUCGUGCAUAACUUUUUCUAUACAAAAGAUAUUCUAAUAGUUAUUGUUUCUUCUUCUGCCUAUAGUCCUUCAUAUAACUUUCAAAAAGAUGAACCUUGAAGCAUGUACACUAAGACCUGAAGAUUGCACAAAUUUUGCUAUGCAACUUCAUUAUUUUUUGUAUUAGACCUUAAAAAAAGGAGACUUCUGAUAUUAAAGAAUUUUGCACGCGUCUUAAGCAUUUAUUCUUUCAGAAAUAAUUCACAUAUACUCUAAUAAACAGUAAGCAAUAUAAAUUAAUUUGAAUAACACAGAAUAAAUAUUUUGAAAAAACUUCUAUAUCAGAAAACUUCUAGUAAUUUCAUUUCAAAAACUUUCCAUCUUUGUAUAAAAUCAAAAUGUUGAUGCAUACAAAACAUACAAGACAUAAUCAUGAAUACGAAGAACUUCUAUUUUUGAAAACCUUCUGUUAACAUUUUUAUUUCAAAAACUUUCCCGAAUUGAUUUAAUCAAAUGAUGAAGUUAUUCUUUGUUUAAAGAGAUUAAUUAAAGUCAGUACAACUUUCCCAAUUGAUUAAUAAUUAUUAGAAAACACUUCCAGAACAAAAUAUUUGAGUUUAGAAAGAUCUUGAUAACUUGAAUCGUCUAUGGUAAAAACAAAAAGAUGACCGUUUAACGUGAAAGCGAAUAUAAGAGUGUCCACCAACUGCGUUUGGCAGUUGUGGUGGGGUAAUAGAAACAAGAGUGGUCCUUCCAAUAAUAAGAUCAGUAUUACACAAGCCGUUAGGUCCACACAUUCCAUGAAGGAAGGACGGUGUUGGUUGGGGAAUUGAAGCUUUGCCAAAUAAUAGUGUCGUUGGAAGUGAAAAAUAAUAUAAAAACUUAAAUCAUCCACUAAACGCAAAAUGACGACUUUUAUCUCAAGUUAUUCAAAGAUUAAAACUGCUACGAUAGCAUCAGAGUGCACAGUCUCAGCAUCACCAAGGGUUUCAAUUUCUCAGUCUGAAAUUCAUGGGACAGAUUCAUGGGACAGACCAAGAUAAGGAAAAGGAACCGAUCACACAUCAUGCUUAUAAGAAAAUGAUAAGAAGAGAGGUUUCUUAUUAUCUGAUGUAUAUGAAAUAUAUAGGGAGUUUUUCUCUCUAACUUACAAGUAGGAUACUAAUCAUGAAAUUCUAUUAUUAUUAAAUUAGUUGCAUAUAAUUUGAUAAUAAUUAUUAUUUCCUUAAUACUCCCCUCAAGUUGGUAGGUGAAGAUCAUGAACCCCAACUUGUGUCGUACGUCAAAAAUCGUUCUUUGCCUAGUGCCUUUGUAAAAAUAUCAGCGAGUUAAUACUGUGUCGAUACAUAUAAAGGACUGAUUAUCCCAGCUUGUAAUUUUUCUCGCACAAUGUGACAGUCUAUCUCAAUGUGCUUUGUGCGUUCAUGAAAUACUGGGUUUUGCUACUAUAUGUAAUGCCACUUGAUUGUCACAGACAAGUUGAGCUGGCAAGUUACAUGACACCUUUAAAUCCUGCAACAGAUAUCGCAACCAAAUUAUCUCCAAACAAGUAUUGGUCAUCGCGCGGUAUACGUUUGUCUAUUUUUUUUUACUUCCAUGAGAUAAUAAAAGAACCAAGAAAAAUGCAAUAUCCAGGUACUGAUCUUCGAGUUCUGUUACAACCUCCCCAGUCUGAGUCGCAAUAAUGUCAGAUUGUUUUCGGAUGGCAAUAACAAUUCUUGUCUUGGUGAUCCUUUGAUGUCCUUUAGGACUUGAAUUGCAGCAUUUCCGUGGAUCUGUAUAUAUUGACUUAGGGUCUGAACCGAAAAUGUUAUGUCAGGUUGAGUAACCGUGAGGUAAGGUAUAUUAGUCGUUCCAUGAGUUUUAAGUAGUGUUCCAUUGGAAAUUUGUCUGGACGAGCACCUGUGAGUCGUAUCCUGCAAAAUAUCAAGCGCAUAUUUUCUUUGGAACAUGUAAAUACCAACUUUGGAACGGGAAAAUUCAAUCCCUAAAAAAUAUUUUAGGUCUCCAAGAUCUUUAAUGCGAAAUUGUUAUAAUAGACAAUAUUUAACACGCUGAAUUUCUGUCAAAUCAUUUCCUAUCAAAAGAAUAUCAUCCACAUAAAUCAAAAGGGCAGUAAAUGAUGAGUUAUUAUGUCUUCUGAAUAGAGACUAAUUUGUGUUAGACUGUUGAAAUCCUACAGAUUUAAUCACAUGAGAAAAUGUUGAAAACCAUGUUCGAGAUGCUUGUUUGAGACCAUAAAGGGAUUUCUUGAGUCGACAUACAAUGUUCUCCCCUGUCGAUGAUGACCGGGUGGCAAGUCCAUGUAAAUAAUUUCAUGCAAUGUGCCAUGUAAGAAGGUAUUUUGCACAUCUAGCUGAUGAGUAAACCAAUUUCUGGCUGCUGCAAUGGUGAGGAGACACCUCAAAGUUGUUAAUUUUGCUGUUGGUGAAAAAGUUUCAGAAUAGUCGACACCUUCAAUCUGAGUGUACCUCUUUGCGACAAGGCGCGCCUUAUAUCUGUCGACGCUACCAUCUGAGUUGUACUUUAUUUUAUAGACCCAUUUGCAUCCGAUGGGUUUCUGCCCAGCGGGUAACGGUGUCAAGGUCCACGUUUGAUUUAGCUGCAAGGCGGAAAGCUCUUCAUCCAUUGCUUUUUGCCAAUUUGGAUUAAGGAUAGCUUGACCAUAAGUGUGAGGUUCUUUGGUGGCUGUGAUGUUAGCAAGAUAUGCACUAUGUGUAGAAGAAAAUCGUGAAUUAGAAAGAAAAUGAUGCAUAGGAUGCCUGGUUCCAUUCGACCGGUCUUGGGUAGUGAUCGAAUGAUUGGCUUGGGAUCCCGUUACGUAGUCUUGAAGCCAGGAAGGUGGGGUGGAUGUGCGACUGGAUCGUCGAACAGGAAGGUCGGUUGGAGAAGGUUUGGUAGUGAGUGCUAGAUUUCUUGGCAUGGGAGAAGAAGGUUGGUCUACUAGAGGUUCAAUGUAUUAUGACGAGUAGAAGAAGAAGGUUGGUUUGAUGGAGGUUCAGGUGCAUUGUGAUGAGUAAGAAAAGAAGGUUGAUCGAGUGAAUGUAGGACAGGAGUGGGUAAGUCAAUGUCAAUAGUGGGCAAAAUACCUUGUAAUGGAGGUGAGGAUUGUGUCUGUGACUGUUGGCAGAAUGAGAAAACACUUUCACAGAAGAUGACAUCCCGACUUGUAAAAAAAGUGUUUGCAUCUAUAUCAAAUAAUUUGUAUGUUUUAGGUGAGAAAGUGAAGGUGGUUGAUUAUAUAGUAGCUCAAAAGGUGAUUUGUUUUUUAGUAAAGGUGAUGGCAAGCAAUUAAUGAUAUAUGUGGCGGUUAAAACGCAUUCUCCCCAAAAUUCUAAUGGUAAAUUGGACUGAAAUAGGAGGGCUCGUGUUGUGUUUAAAACGUGUCUAUAUUUGCGUUCUACUACUCCAUUUUGUUGAGGAGUGUAGAUGCAAGUGCGUUGACAUUCAAUACCUUUUUUGAGAAAAAAAUCAUACAUUGAAAUAAAUUUAAGUCCGUUGUCAACGUGGAUGGUUUUAAUGUCUGAAAUUGAUUUUGUGCAAAUGUAAUGAAUGACUCUAAGAAAUGUUGGGUUUCAGAUUUGUGAUUCAUAAGAAAUAGCCAAGUACAUCUAGUAUAGUCAUCGACUAUAAUGAGAAAAAAACGUUUUCCAAAAUGAGUUGGGGUUUUAUGAGGACCCCAAAUGUCACAAUGCAAUAGAUUAAAUGGAGAAUGAGAUCUUAUUGUGCUUAAAGGAAAGUGUAGCCUUGUCUGUUUAGCUUUGGGACAAAUACUACAAUUAUUAUGAAUGCGAAUGAGAUUUUUACUGAUAGGGAUAGGUAGUAAGGAAGAUACAAGUUGUAGACACGUCGGAGAAGGAUGUAUGAGGCGCUUGUGCCAUAAAUUAGGGUCGGUCGAUAUUUGAGAUGCGUGGGCUUGGUUUGGAAGAGGGGACAUGUAGUAUAAGCCUGCGUGUUGUUUACCCGAGCCAAUCAUCCUCCCCGUAGCCAAGUCCUGUAAAUUAGUGAACUAUAGGAGUAAAAACGACACAACAAUUUAGUGAACUGGUUAUCUUACUAAUGGACAUGAGAUUUAAAUUAAAACAAGGAACACAAAGAACAUCUUUGAAAGUGAUUUUGUCAUUGAAUUUAAUUGUGCCUGUAGAUGAGAUGGGCGCAGUUGAGCCUGUGGGCAGAUUAACAUUUGAAAUAAAUGAUGAUGAAGUGUGUGUGAAAAAUUGUGACUCAGAUGCAAUGUGAUUGGUUGCUCCGCUAUCCAAAAUCCAUGGUUUCGUAAAAGUAGAAUUAGAAUAGGAGUUAUGGGCAAGCAGACCUGCAGAGCUAACAAACGUGUCACUUUUACCGUUAUUGUUGAGCGAGUAAAUAGCUUUUGCCAAUUGCUGAAUUUGCUCGGCACUGAAGCCUUGUACGAGGUUUCUAUCGGACUCGUUACUGAUGCUUUUUUGCCAUACAUGAUUUUUUAUUUAGGGGAUAAAAAUGGACAGGCUGUCAGGGCACCAAGAUCGGUGCUCUGAUACCAAUAAGAAAAUGAUAAAAAAUGGUAAGAAGAAGAGAUGUUUCUUAUUGUCUUAUGUGUAUGGUUACAUCACUUCAUGUAUAUGAAAUAUAUAUAAGGAGUUUCUCUCUCCAAAUUACAAUCUAAUUAGGUAGGGAUACUAAUCAUGAGAUUCUAUCAUUAUUAAAUUAAUUGCAUAUAAUUGAAUACAAUAUCGUACAAUAUUACAUAUAAUUUGAUAAUUAUUAUUUCCUUAAUAAUGCUUUCUUCUAACUGUGAUUCCAAACUCUUCACUCGUGUUCAAUUCUUCACUUAUCAUUCCACUUGGAAGCUUCCAAUCAAAGUGAUAUAACAACAUUGCAAGGGUCACUUCGACAACUCUGGAUGCAUAUAUGCUUCCAGGGCAUAUCCUUCUUCCAGCUCCAAAAGGAAUGUACUCAAAAUUAUUCCCUUUAUAGUCAAUAGUGCUGUCAAUGAAUCUCUCGGGAUAAAAUCUCUCUGGUUCAGUCCAAUACUUUGAAUUUCUUCCAAUUGCUCAAGCAUUGACUAUGACCUUGCUUUUGGCUGGUAUGUUAUAACCAUGUAUCUCACAUGUUUUACCAUAUUCUCUUGGAAGCAAAAAAGGGAGUGGAGGGUGUAAUCUCAAUGUCUCUUUCACAACUAGUUUCAAAUAUUUGAGUUCGUUGAUGCAAUUUUCAUUAACCCUUCCUUUCAAGGUUAUCAGACUCGUGAGAGUCCAGUAAACUCGCAGACUCGUAAGAGUCUACUUCACAUAAAAAAUUUAACAAAAAAAAUAAUUCAUGAUACCAAUUUCAUAAUAUUGAAAUAAACAAGUUCAUACACCAACAAAAUAAGUAAAACAACACAAAUGUUAUGAAGUUUAAAAGUCUCAUUCAUCUAAUCCUCUAAGGAAAUCCUCUCUAAGAUCUUCAUGAUCAUCUCAUCAUCAUAUUCAUCACCAUCUUCAUCAUCAUCUUCAUCACCAUCAACAUCAUCAUCAAAAACUAUAUUAUCAAAAUCAGUUGCAUCUAGAAUUGAAUCAUUUAAACUUGUUCCUCCAACUAAGUCAACAUUCACACCAUCAUCUUCAACUUGAGUUUGCUCAACCUCAACAACAUUAUCUCCUUCUUCAGUUAUACAUUCAUUAUCGAACUUAAUGUCUUCAAAUAAUUGAUCUUAUAAUUUGUUUGUUUAUCAACUUCGAGUUAUACAUUAAGUCAUUCAUUUUCUUCUGAUGCAAACAAUUUCUUCUUUUUGUAUGAACCUAUAAUUAAAUAUGAAAUUUUUGUCAAUAUAUAAAUGAAAUCAAGAAAAACCUUAAAUAACUUCAAGUACUCGAAUUACCAUUUCAAAUGAGUUCCAAUUACGCUCACACUCUGAAGAACUACAAGUUAAACUCAAAACUCGAAUAGCAAACAUCUUUAGUUAUGGAGUUCUAUCCCCAAAUAUCUCCCACCAUUCUUCAGGGAACAUAACUUUCUUACACACCUUUGCAUUUUCCGAAGAAAAUGUUCCUCUUGAAUAGUGAAAAACAGUAAGUUGCAAAUUUAUUUUUGUUCUUUCUGAAACGUCAUUAACCAAUCUUCUCAUGCAUAUGUACAACCCUUCCUUCACCUCAGCAUCAUCAUUUCUAGAGUUUGGUUCAUAGUGUAAUUGGGGGUUUAGGUAAUAGGCAAUUGCAUGCAAAGGCCAAAGGCCUAUGAAGCUGAUUUUUCCACCUCUAAUCAAUGAUUUUCCAAACAUGUUCAUAACUACGUACCAAUUAUGUUAUAUUAGAAAUAUUUCACAAAUAAAUAAGUAUUUAAAUUUAAAAUGGAAGAAAGUUAGAAAUGGUACCUUUUUCUUGAUAUUAUUAAAGUUGUUUUUAAUCUUCUCUUUGGUGCAAUCCAUCUCCUCAUAUAAAAAUAAUCCAUCUCCUUAUAUAAAAAUGCACAGGAUUAAAUGAGCCUUCAAAUAAAUGCAUAGGAUUGAACAUUACACUGAACGAGACUUGAGGCGUAUUUAUGACCUUUUCAUUCUUUUUUAAGUAACAAAUGGCAUAUAUCAAUGCACCACCUUUUAACGAAUGAUCUAGAUUAAAAGGGCCUUCAAAUGAGAGCACAAGAUUGAACGUCACAUUGAACAAAACUCAAAUGCAUUAUGACAUUUUCACACUUAGUCAACCUCAUAGAGCGCAUAAAUCAAUACACCACCUUUUAAUGGAUGAUCCAAAUUAAAAUGCCUUGAAUGUUACAUUGAACAAGACCUCAUAUGCAUUUAUGACCUUUUCACACUUUUUAAUCCUCAUAAAGCAUAUAAAUUGAUGCGCCACCUUUUAACAGAUCGUCUGGAUUAAAUGAGCCUUUAGAUGAACGCACAAGAUUGAACUUAAAAUAUUCAACUUAUAAAGUCAGACCAUGUACUUCGACAUUCUUUUAUAUAUAGGUUUAAUGUUCAUGUUACACACUAUUUACUUCAUAAUCAAUACUUACAAGCGAACCUAAAUUUCACACUUCAACUAUAUUGUUUGCAAGUUCCUUUAACCAGCGUAAUAUGUUGUUAUGGAAGCAAAAGAUCAACCUACAUCAGUUCCAUGGUAACUUAAUCUAUGUGUCAUUGACUUAAUUAUUAAAUACUUUGACAUUUAAAGUUUGGCUAAUUUCUUUUGUGAAAUUAAGAUUUAAAAAGAAGCAUUGUGUUGUCUUAUUGUCAUUGUGUCUGAGUCACACCCUUUAGUAGUUCCUAAACUAGAUCGCAAAGUUGAUGCAUCUAAAUGUUGAUUAUGAUUUGGUGACAACUCUAGUAUUGGAGGUGGAAACUAGAAACAUAUAAAUUUUAUUUCCCAACUAGAGAAUGCACAAAAUCCUAUAAGAUGUAGGACUUCAGUUGGGAGUGAUUGAAUGAAGCCCUAAUUAUUACACCAACCUAUUUGAUUGGGAAGAUAUGUGUGCUACAUUUUUUGGCAUAACACAAAGUGGAGUCUUUAGUUAGGUCAAUGGUGAAGUUGAAGUGGUUAAGAGAGAACAUGUUCCCACUUCAAGAACAACCAUCUGAAGAGGAACUUAAUGCCCAUUAAAGGACAUAUAUAUUAGGAUUAAUUGGUAGGGUGUCAAUGUCUGACAAAAUAGGUAACAAAGUGCCCAUGUACUUAAUAUUUUUAAUCAAUCUUCGAAAAACUAACGAUGUAGUUGAGGAUUUACUUGUUUAGUUAUUUUGUAUAGGGAAAUGUGUAAAAGCAUUAAUAUGCGUGCAAAGACAUAAGUCGUGGUUGUGCAUCCCUUUUGCAGUCAUGGGCGCAACAUCACAUGCCCUUUAUGGCACCAAUUUCCAAAUGUGAUUUAAUGUACUUGUUGGUUCGCAAGUGGAGUGACAGUAGUUCUGAAUUUCCAAAAUGUCCCAUGCAACAACUUACUACAAAGCUAGAAUAGGUAAUGUUAAAAGCAACAACUAAAUGUUCCUAUUCUUGCUGCCCUUAUUUAUAAUAUUUUGCUUUCCUGAUACACACGAAUGUACUUUAAUGACUUUUUUUAAGUUUAUAUGGGCUCCAUAUGAUGGGUUAGAGGCAUCAACACCAACUGAAGCCUUUAAGGAUCAACACUUGUGGACAUCAUGCACAAUGUUAAUUUAUUUUGCAGUUGCGGAGUGGCACUAGUCCGACAAGGUGAAGUUACAUUUUCGUCUAUCACAAGAAGUAAUAGAGCCUUCCAACAAGCUUGAUCACCAACACAAAAUUGACAUGAGAGAAAGUCAAGAUGAGAAUUGGGUGACCAAACAUGCCUAUUGGGUUGAUUUCUGAACAACAAACAUCAACUUAGAUUGACAGAUAUUCCAAUGCUUGGUCCUCUCCACCACACACAUGAGUACAUGGGAUGGUACAUAGCCAAUUCAUAUAUCUUCUUUUGGUGCCACAAAUGUUGCAGAAUUAGAGGCUCAAUCAUCAAAUAAAGAGUUCACAGUGACCAUUUCACCAUAAUUGUUCCUCCUCGCAGAGGAUCCACAUUAAUAAUUCAGCAGUUUUUAGCAGUUUGGGACACCCGACAAGAGCCUACCAUGGAUGAAAGAAGAUAUUCAUUUUUGGCAUUCUUUGAACAUGACAUGCAAAAAUAUGUUUAGAACAUAUGUGACAACACCAUUAUUUGCACAAAUCUUCAUGUAAUCCACUUACUCUGCACAACAACAUUAUGAACUAGGGUCAUCUUCAGCUUCAUAUUGGGGGUUUGCAAAAAUGGUCCAUGACUAACCCCACUCCAAGAACACACAAUACCACCCGAACAACCUAAAUGAAAAAAUCAACACAUAAUAAACAUUGACCUCAUUGUGAUAUUUAUCAUCCGUGACGAAAAUUGAAAAUAUUGUAUUUAAUGAACGAUAAUAUGUUAUAUAUGUUUCAUAUUUGUGUCAUAAUUUUAAUAAUAUUUUUUUAAAAAAAUAAUGAAAGAAAAAAUUAAAUGUAGUACCUAAAAAUUAAAUAUGUAUCCUAAAUAAUUGGAAAAAGAUUAAAUUUCCUUACCCAUCACACAAUUAUAAAAAGAUUUCAUGAAUAAAUAAAAUAUUUAUUAAAGUUGAUUGUUUAAAUAACAAUACUCACUCUCAUUAUUAAAUAUUCUUAAUAUUUAUUUAUUAAUUUGUCUAUUUAACUUGUAUAAGUAAAAAAAAUAAGUUUCUUAAGUUUUUCUAAAAUUCUUUAUUAUUAAAAAAAGACUUUAAUAUAUAUUUCUUACAAAUAAUAUUAUAUUUUGGAACUAAUACAAAUAUUUUCAUAAUUAAAAAUAUAUUUAAGAAACUUUUAUAAAAGAAUCGUGCCCUUUGUAAUUAAAACUAUACAAGUUGUCUGUAAGUCGUUUCAAACUCCUUCUAUCACUUUUAUAAUUUAAAUUUAACGACUUACGAAAUUUGAUGAUUUACAAAAUUUACAAAAAAAUUAUUUAAUUUAAAUGCAUCCAUAAUAUAAAUCUUUUUUACUCUGACAGUAGGUUUUCUCUUCAUCCUAGUCUUUUCUUUCUACAGUACAGUGCAAAGGAAGUUUUGUUCAUUCAAGCAUUUAAGAAGGGUUAUAAACCUUUUCUUGUUUCUAUCGUUUCAAAUUUUUCAUUUCAGAUUCUCAAUAUCUUUAGUUCAUCAACAAAAGGGUCUUGAUUUGAGGGAGUGUUUUACUUCAAUUUUUUCUCUGGUCUGCUUCUUUCUUUUCUUCGUUUUCAUGGGGUGGUUUCUUUCUUUCUUGUUUUCCCUAAAGUUUUGCUUUUUCUUCAUUUAGUUUAUGAGUUUUGCAUUCUUGUUUUACUGUUUUGUGCUUUGCAUGUUUAUGUGGAGGGCAAGUUUGUUCUUUCAAGUGUUCUAUUGAAGUUUUUGUUUAUGUGACUUGUUGAGGUACCAUUGAUAGAUAUCUGUAACAUAAAGUCUCCUUUUGAAAGUCCUAUUGGAAAAGACAUGGAGAUUGCUCCGUAGCACUUUGCCCCAUUUUUCUUUAGUUUUGUACCUUUGGACCCUGUGGUACCUUGGUUUAUGAAGGUCAAGGAGGAAAUCCUAAUGUUAGGAGAAAUAUUUAACUUCGUGAUAAACAAAUUGGAACGAGGAAAUUUGGUGCUGAAAAAUAGCAUGCAAGCUAUAAGUCCCAUGUGGGUUAUAUUGAAAGUGAUGGAAAGUUUGAUGGUGCAUUCAGUUACAAUAGGAGCAGUUCUCAUUACUCAUAUGUUUAUGAUGGUUUGUAUUUGGUGGAUACAAUGAAAAUAGAAAGAGUGAGAUAUGGAAAGCUUGUGUUCUUGGAUUUCAUGAUUUCAUAGGGUGGUUUCUUUUCUUGCUUUUCUUGGUUUUCAUGAUUUCAUGGGGUGGUUUCUUUGUUUCUUGUUUUCCCUAAAGUUUCACUUUUUCUUCAUUUAGCUUAGGAGUUUUGCAUUUUUUUUUUACUGUUUUGUGCUUUGCAUGUUUCUGUGGAGGGAAAGUUUGUUCUUUUAAAUAUGUUUACUUUUUAUGAAUUAUUUUUCUACUGUUUUGUGGUCGUACUUCUCAAACACCUCUUUUUUCAACCUCCGCUGCUUGGCACUAUCUGUGUUUUCAAGGUAUGAAGUUCCUCAGCACUUCGACUGGCAAAGAAUUAAGGAAAGUGUUUGUGAAACAGUGGACAGUGGACGGUGAAUCGAGCAUUGGUGACAUUUAAGAACUUGUUUGAUAAGCUAAUGCAUCUAUACAAAUUGUAAGAACCUGGGAAUUCUAAAGUAAUGGCCGCAAACGCCGUCUUAACGGAUUGCUAUGAUAAUGGUAGGAAAUCCAGUGGUACCUUGGCUUAUGAAGGUCAAGGAAGAAAUCCUAAUGUUAGGAGAAAUAUUUCACUUCAGUGAUAAACAAAUUGGAACGAUGAAAUUUGGUGCUGAAAAAUAGGAUGCAAGCUAUAAGUCCCAUGUGGGUUAUAUUGAAAGUUAUGGAAAGUUUGAUUGUGCAUUCAGUUACAAUAGCAACAAUUCUCAUUACUCAUGUUUAUGAUAGUUUGUAUUUGGUGGAUACAAUGAAAAUAGAAAGAGGAAGAUAUGGAAAGCUUGUGUUCAUUUUUGUCCUAAAUAGAAUUUUAGGACAACUCCAAACUUGUUUUUCCCUUAAGGAUCAUGGUGAAAAUUCAAGAUUUACUUCUAGGAAGAAACGCAACAAACCGAAAGGUUGUGUUGUUGAAAAGGAGGUUGUCCGUGUUAAAGAUCUUUAAAAUCGUCAGAAGAGGUUUAGUAUUAGGGUGGUGACUUCAAGAGAUUGUGUCCAGCUACCCACAUCCUUUGAUUAUGUCGUAAAUAAAAUUCACUCAAUGAAGUUCAAGCAGGCAAUUCUUUGUGGCUGUGAAGAAUGGUAGCAAAGGUUGACGUACAAAAAUUGUCUUUCAUUCCCUUCUGGAAGCUUUCUAUGUGAGUAUAUUGGAGAAGUCAGUGGCUAUAGAUAAUGACUAUAUAUUUCACAUGGGUAUGUUCAUGAUGGAUACUUUCUUUUGUUGUGUUUGGACUUUAUUUAACAGUUUCAGUCUUCCUUUGUAGGUGUUGAAAAGGUCUUCACUAAUGCAAGUAAAUGUGUAUACGUAGGAAGAUUUACUAAUCAUAGCUGUUCUUCAAAUCUUCGUGUCAAAGAUGUUAUGUAUGAUCACAAUGACAAGAAUCUUCCUUACAAAUUGUUGUUUGCUGUAAAGGAUAUUUCGGCUGUUUGAGAGCUGACUUAUGAUUAUAAUUCCUUCAGUGGAAAAUUGAUCAAUAGUAGUAGUAAUAGUUGCUAUUGGGGAACACCGAAAGGCAAUGGACAAAUCUACAUUUAAAGGUGUAAAUUAUAAACUGUAUUUUUUUAUUACAUUGUUGAAUAGAGUACAUAUACUCACAUCAUUGUUUGAUAUGCAUUGGUUGUAGUAGUCCAUAAGCCUUUGAUGUAAAAGAUAUGUACAAUAUGCAUAGCUUAUGUGGCUUGGUCUUGGAUGAUGGAUGGUGGUUUGUAGGUUAUUGAUUCAAGACUAAUAACCUUGGUCUAUGAGUUAUGCCUAAUCAUGCGUAGGGGAAUUAUCAACCUCUCUGUAGCAAAACCAGUUUGUGGGUGUUGAUUGCAAAACCUCUCUUCAUCAACCUCUCUGGGCUGUGGUAGGUCUGACAGGAGAACUGUUGUCAAAGGAAACGAGGAAAAGGAGGUGCAGGCAAUGCAGGUGUCAUGGUGGCCAUGAGAAGGAAAACGAAGAAGGAAUACUCUCUUAGUUAUCAUCAUGGAGCCUGCAGCAACCAUAGAAGGGCUGUUGAAUGUCUAUCUCAUUGGUUGAGGUAGCAGGACUAACACCUCUUUCAAGGAGUGUAUAUGGCCACUGAAACAAGACCCAAGGAGGUCUCCUUGUGUGGAACUUGCGGUUUGUCUGGAGAGGUUUAUCUGGUUUCUGUCACGAAGAGCCAUGAUAGAGUCUCUGGAAGUAAAAUCCAUGGUAAUAGGAUGUCUGGAGCGGCUGUCAGUAGUGAUGGGUGUUAAAUCAGAUGGUCUUUAAACCUGAAGUGGCUGGUUUACCUUGUAUGGAGCCUCACUUCUCACACCUGAUGUGGUGCCAGUAUUGGUUUACUGGGUCUUGUUGGAGUUGCUGGCUGGUUUGUUGGUUUGCUGGUGCUGCCAGUACUGGUUUGCUGGUUUUGGUGGAGCUGCUGGCUGGUUUGUUGGGUUGCUGGUUUACCUUGUGUGUUGGAGAUGCUGGCUGGAUGCAAGUGAAGCUCACUGUUUCACAGUAAAGGGCCAUAAAAAGUAGGGGGUUUUAUUUAUGCUGAUGAAUUUGUAGCUUGGAUUUCAAAGCAUUAUUCAAGGGGUAUUAUUUCUUUGGUCCAAGUGGUGCGCUAGAUGCAGAGCAGUUUUCAAUCAAUUGAAGUGGACUGGUGGCCUACGCACGGAGCCCUGGAUGGUGCAUAUGUUGUGAUGCCAAAGCUGGGUUGGGAAAGGGUUGCUGGUUGGUGCUUCCAGCGUGGGGCAAUCAAGUGAAGCAAGCUCUUUCAUCCUAUGCUUGGAUGCUUUGUUGGUGUGGUGUGGACCUCAAACAUGAGCUGCUGGUUCUCUUUUUUAUGGUCUGUUGGGUCUGGUGGAUUUCUAGUGAGUGGGGGGUUUGUGGGUUAAUACUACAAUAGGUUUGCUUUGGUAGUAAAAUGUGGUCCUUUAAUUUAAUUAAUUCUUUGUCGAUAAAAAAAAAAAACUAAAACCAUUUUUGAAAAUAGAACUUAAACACAUCCUUUUUAACUAAUUCAUUCCACUUUCAUAUCAAGUAUGGUAAGGAUUAUGAUCAUAAAAUGUAUUUGCAAGAGGUUAUGAUCCAUACCAGAAUUAUAGCCUUGAUGUUUUUCCUUGUUAAAUAAAAAUCUUGCUUGCUAACAUCCUCAUAUUGUAUGAGAACAUCCACAAGAUCUUCUGCUUCCCUUUCGUAAUCUUUGGUCUUUGACUUUGCCUCUUUAUGUUCAUUAUGAUGUUUUCCAUUAUGUGAUCGGUUUGUUGAUGUAACCUCUCAAGCUUGGGCCUCAGGCCAGUGACACGUUGCAGCCAAGUAGCAGAAGGAAACAAAUCUCCAAUGUUAAAACCUCCUGCAACUUUUAUUGAUUUUUUAACCACUGAUAUAAAGUUUUCUUGGUCUUUAUAUUUCUUGCCAAAGGCAGACCUGGAAACAAUUGUAUAAAUAGAUGAAAGUAGAGCUUGAGUGAGAUUGAUGGGGGAUCCUUUCUCCGAAUCUAUCCAUUUGACAAGAUUGGAGAGCUCCUCUUCUUUAAUUGGCUGGUAUGAGUUGAUACGUUUUAAAGCUCCAAUAUGCAAAUUUUUUCUAAAAUUCUUUAUUAUUAAAAGAGAAUUGAAUAUAUAUUUCUCACAAAUAAUAUUAUAUUUUGGAACUAAUAUAAAUAUUUUCAUAAUCAUUACAAUAUAAUUUAAGAAACUUUUAUAAAAGAAUGGUAUCCUUUGUAAUUAAAAUUAUACAAGUUAUCGAUAUGUGUUUUAAAACUUCUUCUAUUGAUCACUUUUAUAAUUUAAAUUUAAUGACUUACAACUAGUGAAAUUUGAUGAUUUAAGAAAAUUUACAAAAAAAAUUAUUUAAUUUAAAUGCAUCCAUAAUAUAAAUCUUUUUUAUUCUUAACGUUGCAUUCUAACUCUUAUCAAUUUUAUAUUAAUAAUCAUCACAACUCUGACGUGAACAGUAGGUUUUCUCUUCAUCCUAGUCUUUUCUUUCUCCAGUACAGUGCUAAGGAAGUUUUGUUCUUUCAAGCAUUUAACAAGGGUAAUAAACCUUUUCUUGUUUCUAUUGUUUUAAAGUUUUCAUUUUCAUUUCCAAUUCUCAAUAUCUUUAGUUCAUCAACAAAUAACAAAAGGAUCUUGAUUGCAGGGAGUGUUUUACUUCAAUUUUUCCUCUGGUAUGCUUCUUUUCUUGGUUUUCAUGGGGUGGUUUCUUUCUUUCUUUCUCUCCCUAAAGUUUUGCUUUUUCUUUAUUUAGUUUGAGUUUUGCAUUCUUGUUUUACUGUUUUGUGCUUUGCAAAUUGCAUGUUUCUGUGGAGGGAAAGUUUGUUCUUUUAAAUAUGUUUACUUUGUAUGAAUUCUUUUUCUACUGUAACUGUACUGCUCAUACUUCUCUUGUUUUUCAAGUGUUCUCUUGAAGUUUUUGUUUAUGUGAUUUUUCAACUUCCGUUGCUUGGCACUAUCUGUCCUUCAACUUUUAUCACUCUAAAGCUUCCAAGGUAUGAAGUUUCGUCUUCAUGGCUUUUCAAUUUUCAUUUUGCAUCAUUAUUAUUUUAUACUCCAAUCUCCCAUUAUUCUAUUUUCUACCUUUGAACGCUUACAUCACUGAAAAAGCUUUCAGCAUUUGAAUUCUUGGUUGAAUGUUUUUUUUUAUAGUUUGGUUGUUGUUAUUUGUUCAUUCUAGAUGGUUUGUAAACUGUUGUUUGACUUGUUGUGGUACCACUGAUGGAUAUCUGUAAUACAAAGUCUCCUUUUGACAGUCCUUUAGGAACUUGUUUGACAAGCUAAUAAUACUUCAAUACAAAUUGUAAGAACCUGGGAAUUCUAAAGUAAUGGCCGCUAACACUGUCUUAACGGAUCGCUAUGAUAAUGGUAGGAAAUCCAUUGUUACCUUGGUUAUGAAGGUCAAGGAGGAAAUCCUAAUGUUAGGAGAAUUUUUUUUCUUCGUGAUAAACAAAUUGGAACGAGGAAAUUCGGUGCUGAAAAAUAGCAUGCAAGCCAUAAGUCCCAUGUGGGUUAUAUUGAACCUUAUGGAAAGUUUGAUGGUGCGUAGCAACAAUUCUCAUUACUCGUAUGUUUAUGAUAGUUUGUGUUUGGUGGAUACAAAGAAAAUAGAAAGAGGGAGAUAUGGAAAGCUUGUGUUCAAGUUUGCACUAAAUAGAAUUUUAGACAACUCCAAACUUGUUUUGCCGUUAAGGAUCAUGUAAAAAAUUCAAGGCAUCUUACAAGAUUUACUCCUAGGAAGAAACACAAACCGAAAGGUUGUGUUGUAAAAAAGGAGGUUGUUCGUGUUAAAGGUCUUUCAAAUGGUCGGAAGAGGUUUAGUAUUAAGGUGGUGACUUUAAGUGGUUGUGUCCAGCUACCCACAUCCUUUGAUUAUAUCGUAAAUAACAUUCACUCAUUGAAGUUCAAGCAGGCAAUUCUUUGUGGCUGUGAAGAAUGGUAGCAAAAUGUUGAAUGGUUGACGUAUAAAAAUUGUCUUUCAUUCCCUCUGGAAGCUUUCUAUGUGAGUAUAUUGGAGAAUGGAGAAGUCGGUGCUUAAAUGGAGGCUAGAUAAUGACUAUAUAUUUCGCAUGGGUAUGUUCAUGAUAGAUACUUUCUUUUGUUGUGUUUGACUUUAUUUAACAGUUUCAGUUUUCUUUUGUAAGUGUUGGAAAGGUCUUCACUAAUGCAAGUAAAUGUAGAAACGUAGGAACAUUUACUAAUCAUAGUUCUUCAAAUCUUCGUGUCAAAGAUGUUAUAUAUGAUCACAAUGACAAGAAUCUUCCUCACAAAAUGUUGCUUGGUGUAAAGGAUAAUCUUGCUGAGAGCUGACUUAUGAUUAUAAUUCCUUCAAUGGAGAAUUGAUCGAGAGUAGAAGAUAUAAUGGCAAUGGACAAAUCUACAUUUAAAAGUGCAAAUUUUAAACUUGUGUUUGUUUUAUUGCAUUGUUGAAUAUAAUUUAGAUAUGCAUUAUAGUACAUAUACUCACAUCAUUAUCAUUGUUUGAUAUGUAUAAGGUGGUUCUGAGUAUGUCAAGGAUGCAAGUAUAUCUAAUGAAGUGUCAAUUAUAAACAUACUAAGGAACAUAGAAAUAAACAUACAAAGGGAACUUAGAAAUAAGAAUUCUGGUUGAUGAUUUUACAUAUAAAGUUGUCAUUGACUCUUGUAUAAUGGUUAUGUCCAAUUAUCUUGACACUUACACAUCAUCUUGUAUGGUUGGUUGAUGAUUUUUGCUCUAAUGGCCGAAGUUUUUUCUAUUAUUCUUGCUCUUGAAAGAGCAAAAUGAAAGAUUGGGCUAGAAAAUUUUGUGCCUCGUAGAGUGAGUCUUGCUAUAUCUCACUUCUCUCUAAUAGAUUAUGUUUCGACUCCUUCUUAUGGUUUCCUUUCCAACAUACCCACCUCCUCCUGUAAGUGAGGUUUGGGGCCAGGCCGAGCCGAGCUACAUGAUGUGAGUUGAAUCAAGCAUAAACACUUUAGGAACACAAUAAGAAGGCUUAAGGACAAUUCAAUGGAGGACAUUGCCUUCCAAAUGAAGAGUCAAACUCAUAAUCAUGAGUGACAUAUCUUUAUACACAUAUAUAUGGCGGAAAUGGAAAGGAAAGCAAGAUCAAACACAUGAACACAAGUAGAAACACAAUGUAGAACAAUUAAAAACAGCAACUAACACAUGAUCUGAUUGAAAGGAGAAUUAAGUGUUGGAAAUAAAAGGAAACACAAAAGAAGCAAGAACCAUCGGUGGAAAAUGAAGAACAACACUAAAGGGACAAAAGCAAUCGAUUGGAAUUGCUAAAACAUGAGUCUAAAUGGAAAUGGAGAUGGAAGGAAGAAGGAACAUAAUUGGAUGAAGACUUGAAGGAGAUGGACACGCCACUUGGAUGGUGAAAGGUCCAAGAUGAGUGCUAAAUGCCGCCACUUGAAGCCCUCCAAAACUCACAAGAUAAGAAUUAGAGAAGGAGAUCAAAUCUCUCACAAUUCUCUCUCAUUUUGUGUAGAGUUUCCUUUCUUCUAUUUUUAUAUUCUGGAUUACAUGAGCAAUGCCUCUCUAUUUAUAGUAGAAGAGGGCUGAAAAAUGAAAAGACACAAUUGAAAUUCAAGAGAUAAUUGUUUUCCUACUUUCGCACCUGCUAAAAAUCCUAUCUACACCUACUCGUAUGUCACAUGGAAGGUGUAACUUGUUUUGUACAUUAGUACCCCUUAUUUAAUAUCUACACCUCCAUUUUAAAGUUAUACUAAAAAACUAUACAAAAGUAAUUACAAAAAAUCAUCAAAUGUUCAUCUCCCAAAGCUUUAGCCAUGUUUCUAGUAAUUCUUUGAGGCAAGAAAGAUGUUGAGCUCAUGGAUUGGGCUUUGGUCCCCUCUUGGGCUUGGGCCUCAUACGCCUCCUCUACUUGGUCUUCAUCACUACAUAUCCCGCAAACUCUUCAAUUGAAGGUAGGAUGAACCUUCUUAGCUACCACAUUUUCACCUUUGUCACCUUUAACAAUGAUGUUACUAGUACCACCCUGCUCUCUUCAUCUAACAAAUGUAGUCAACACAAUCGAUCUGGGAACCUUAUCCUCAUUGACCAUGCCGCGCUCCAUAUAUGUUAAUAAAAUUAAUAUUUAACAGCUAAAAACAAUCAUACAUAGAAAAAAAAAAACCCAAAGAAAAAUCAUAUUUCUAGAACAAGCUUUCCAAAAUAGUUUUUUAGAAUAGUCUUUUCAGAAUAUGUUUCUAAAAUUUCCAGAAAGUCUAUUUCGAACAACUAUUCAGAAAAUAUGUUUUAGAAACAUAUUUUGGAAACCUAAUUUCAGAAGUAAUCACAUUAUGCACACCUCCCCCUUUUCUCGAAUCCAAAGUCUAUUUUUUUUUUUGGAUUACCCUUUCCAAAAAGAAAAAAUACGCGAACCUGUAGUUUUUUAAUGACGAUUUACGUACCAUAGCGGUGUCAAUAACCAUUGGAGACAAGACAGAAACGAAUGUGAAUCACCAACCAAAUGCAAGUACUAUAAUUGCAACAAAUUGAACGAACCACAGAUCAGAACAGUGCAAUAAAGAUAGGGGAAUGUGUACUUUUUAAUUAUAAACCCCGACAUUGAUGUCAUUUUUUAAGGUGAUGGGGUGAAGGUUCAAAAAUUGAAGGGUGUAGGAAGCAAAAGCCAUUAAAUGGUAUCAAUAAUUCUACAUCAUGAAUUCAAAAGCCAUAAUCUUUACUUCCAUGACUUUUAUCCAUUCUAGAACUUGUAUAACUUCUUUAUAGGAUUGUGGCUUGGUUCGAGAUAAAGGAGGGAGAGUGUAUCUAAGUUGUUUAUUGAAUAAUAUUCUAUAUGAUAAAACUAGGUUAAAAGAAUAACAUACCUUAUUGGAAUUCUGUAAGUUCUCUUCUCAAAGUGAUAUUAUAUGUUGAUAAUGAUAGUCUUCUACGAAAGAUAGAGAUUUGUGUAUCCUAUAAGACCUUCUUAAGUUCUCGGUCUCAAUGUGUUCAUUAUUUUCAGUGUUACUAUCUUAUGUAAUAACAUGAUUUUCAUCAUGUGUGUAAUCAUAUAUGUGUUCAAAGUAAUUCUCACGAUGUCCUGUAUCAGUCUAAAUGGUUGUAUCAACAAUUAGACAAAAGCCAUACUUAAGAAAAAUGACAUUUCAAGAUACAAAAAUUUCUAGUAUUUGUAUCAAUAACAACAUAUCUUUUAGUUCCAGCUAUAAAACCGAGAUAUAUACAACGUUGAGAUCAAGCUUAUUUAUGUUAUUUUCAAAGGUUAAAACAAACCAUAAUCAUCCAAAAUUUCUUAAUUUGUAGAGGUCAGGAACACAUUCAAAAAACAUUAUGAAAGGACUCUUAUUAUGAAUAACAAGUAGGGGGUGCAGGAAGAAAAAUAUAGGGGUGCAGGAAGAAACUGCCAUAAUACAAUACGUAGAAAAAGAAGAAAACAAAACACUACUUAUAUUAUCUGCAUGCAUAUGUUCAGUAUAUAUAAACUUAUAUAGACGAAGGGACUGUUUCUUCCUGCACCUCCAUACCUUCUUCUCUCACCUUCAUAAGUUUUGAAAUUUCCAAAAAUGCCCCUUUAUAAUAUUCCGAAUUACGUAAUUCGGAAGUCAUUUUUCAAAUUUGUAAUUAGCUACCGGAUUACGUAAUCCAGAAACCAUUUUUCAGAUGCAUGAUUAUUCUUUGGAUUACAUAAUCUGGAAGUCUUAACUUCCAGAUUAUGUAAUCCGAAAGUCUUUUUUUAAAUGAGUUUCCAAAUUACAUAAUCCGGAAACUACUCUAUGGGGGUGACACAAGAAGGACAAAAAUGUAUUUUCAUGUUGUGUAUGGAGGUGGCAGAAGAAGAUAUGGAGGUACAGGAAGAAACAGACGAAGGAUGAGAGGAAAGCCCAAAUAUAGUGGACUGGCAAAAAAAAAAACUCAAGGCAUUAAUUAUGUAUUCUUUUUGUAGUUUAUGUUUGGUUGUUUCUUGCAUACCCAUAGUUUCUCUAGGCUUUGGUUAGGCGAAAAGACCAUGUUGUCCUUAAAAAAUUACUUCUGGAUUUUGCAAAAUGAAAAUGUUAUCUUUUCUAUUAACACCUCAUGGAUUCCACAAUCCAUUCUAGAUUACAAAAUCUAGAAGGUAAUCCCGGAUUCAGCAAUAGUUUCCGAAUUGUACAAUUUGCAGCAUCCUUUUACUAUAAUAUGUAUUUCUUUGGAUUAUAUAAUAUGAAAAGUAUACAAUUCAAAAUGUCUUUUAGAUUAUACAAUCCAGAAGAUAUUUCUAGAAUGAAAAUUAUCUUCCAGAUAGUACAACCCGAAAUACAUAUUAUAGUAAGGGGGUGUUACGAAUUUUACAAUACAGUAUACACAAAAAAAAUUGAAAAAAAAAGAAAGAGAAAAAUCCUAACAUAUACUCAUAAGAGUAGGGUUUGAAUUAAAAAAAAUAUGAAGGUGUAGGGGGAAGAUAUGGAAGUAUACGGAGAAUUUACCAAACAUGAAGGUCCAUGUUAUCAAUUGCUUGUUUUAAUUGUGGGAUAAAAAUAAGAAAAUUCCCCCUACACCUCAACGGGUUCUUCUUGCACCUCCAUAUAAUUUUUAAUUAUCAAAUCUACAAUUGGCAGUAUAUGUUAUGGUUUUAGUUGAGUUGAUGAGUUGUUCUUCAUUUUGAAGGUUUUCAUUAAUUGCGGUGAGUGUUUGUGGGUGAUUCUUGAGGGUUGUGGUUGGAGGUGGUUGUUGGAGACGGUGAAGGUUAGUUGGUGAGUUAAGUUGUGCGUUUCUUUAUAUGGUUUCUGAUAUGGUGAUGGAGCAGGGAAAGGGAAGAACAUAGAAAAAACUAGAAAAAUAAGUGUUGGGAUAGAGAUAUAUCCGAAUAAAAAAACAACUUUUUAGGAUAAAAGUAACAUAACCAACAACAUGCCUACUCUCCUAGUCUAGUGGGGUAUAUAAUACCCUUUGAAAAACUAUUUGUCCUAAUAGACAGCUGUGCUGAAAAUACUGAAAAGCUAUAACAGAAAAUCCUAACAGAAAAGGGGAUCCAAUCCCUACAAAAGACAAAAGAGAUCCUUCUAGAUAUAAUCCUUUAACCAAAUGGGCCUAGAUAUCCUUCUAAUGGGCCUUGUGCUUGUGAGUCCCGUAUCAAUAGUUGGCCCCUGCAAAGCAACCUUUUCCUCAAGGUUUUGGAUGGAUGAACUUGGCAGAGGAGUUGUGGUGGAUGACACGGUGGUAUAGGAACUAGGGGUGCGGGAGGUAAAACGGGGUGGUCUGGUUAUUGUAAAAUGUUGGACUAUUUGAUGUGGGUGGUGGUUGGUGGGCCAAGGUAAUUUUUGUGGUGUGGGGGUGGAUGUGAGAGUGAGAAUAAAUUGGGAAAGUGUGGUGCGGGCUUUUGGGCCACGUUGGGGUGUGGUGUUGGCAAAGGGGGUUGAGAGUGGGUUGUAAAUUGGCAUGGGAAACCCAAAGGGCAAGGUUUGGAAAGAGAUUGGUUUUGUAACGUUGGAAUUUGGUGUGUGUCAACUACUUGUAUUGAAUGCGACACAGAGUCACGUGAAGGUGUUGUAGGGAGUCGGUGAUGUGACACAAUAUGGGUCAUUGAUGGAAAUGAAGUGGUGUGGGUAGAUGGUUAGGUGCAUUUACUUGUGGAAGUAGAUGGGUAGGUGAAGGUAGGUGUGAGAGUAAAUGGGCACGUGAAGCAGAGGUUAGUGGUUGGUGAAGGGGUUUAAUGAGGGCUGCUGAUAGAGGACACGUGGCGUGUGUGGAUGGCAUCAGAGCUGUGUUACGUGAGUUUGAAGUCUCACUUAGGGUUUCACUUAGGUUUAUGUUGGGAGGGUGCAAAAGGUACGGGUUUAUUUCCUGGUUGGGAGGGUGGUGGGGUAGAGGGGGUUUUGGUCCAUGAUAUGGUUUGAGGAGAGAUAUGUGAAAUACUGGAUGAACUUUGGAAUCUGGUGGGAGAGCUAGUUCAUAAGUCACUUCACCAAUGCGUUUGGAAAUAGGGUAUGGGCCAUAGAAUUUUCGGGAAAGCUUGUGGUGAGGGGAGCCGGUGAGGGAUGUUUGGUGGUAAGUCUGUCGUCAGAGGAGUACCCAGUCGUAAGGAGCAAACAGGGGGAAGCCAAAGACAAAAAAGAAGCGAAUGGAAGAUGUUGCAUUGAAGUGAUUAAUUCGGUGACAAGUGCUACAAUCGUGCCACUGCAAGCUGGGUAGAAGGAAUGUCAAUGAGGUGGUAGAGAUAACGAAUAUUUUGGUGUAUUUUGAUGGUUUUGUAGCUGCAGUUUGCAGUGCUUAUAGCAUUUCAAUACGAGCACGGUGCUAGUUGGAAUAAGAUGUCUAGGUUAUGCACUUCUGGGGUGUUUGGUCAUCUCUUUAUUCUUGGAGAUUCUUAAUGUGGUUUGGUUUAUGUAAAAGGGUUGGAUACCCUUUUUGUAUCCCUCUUAAUUUAAUGUCAUUCUUUGCUGAUAAAACAAAAUGAAAAAUAAUAUAAAAACUUAAAUCAUCCACUAAACGCAAAAUGACGACUUUUAUCUCAAGUUAUUCAAAGAUUAAAACUGCUACUAUAGCAUUAGAGUGCACAAUCUCAGCAUCACCAAGGGUUUCAAUUUCUCAGUCUGAAAUUCAUGGGACAGGCAAAGGAAUAUAAGGAAAAGGAACCAAGAACAGAUCAUGCUUUCUUCUAACUGUGAUUCCAAACUCUUCACUCAUGUCCAAUUCUUCACUUAUCAUUCCACUUGGAAGCUUCCAAUCAAAGUGAUAUAACAACAUUGCAAGGGUCACUUCGACAACUCUGGAUGCAAAUAUGCUUCCAGGGCAUAUCCUUCUUCCAGCUCCAAAAGGAAUGUACUCAAAAUUAUUCCCUUUGUAGUCAAUAGUGCUGUCAAUGAAUCUCUCGGGAUAAAACCUCUCUGGUUCAGUCCAAUAGUUUGAAUCUCUUCCAAUUGCCCAAACAUUGACUAUGACCUUGCUUUUGGCUGGUAUGUUAUAGCCAUGUAUCUCACACGUUUUACCACAUUCUCUUGGAAGCAAAAGAGGAAGUGGAGGGUGUAAUCUCAAGGUCUCUUUCACAACUAGUUUCAAAUAUUUGAGUUCAUUGAUGCAAUUUUCAUCAACCCUUCCUUUCAUGUUGAAUACCUCUCUAACCUCAGCUUGUGCUUUUUUCAUUACUCUUGAAUCAUUCAUUAUUUCAGCCAUCGCCCAAUCUAUGGUUGUUGCUGAUGUCUCCCCUCCAGCACCAAAAAUGUCCUUAAAAAUAUCAAUAAAAAAGGUUACAAGUAAAGAAACAAAGAGACUGCAUGCUUCUAGAGUUAUUAGGCAAAUGUUUCACUACUUCAAAGAUCUAGUGAAAAAUAAGAUAUAGAGGGAAAAAGUGUUAGAUAUUUAUUACCAUUUUGAUUUCCUACUCUCUUUUUGGUUUAAAAAUUGUUUUCCAACAUGCUAUUCAAUAAUCAGUUUCUCCCCCUGAACGUGUUAUGUUUUCAAAAUUGCUUCCAAAAAAGAGGGUUUUAAAAACAUAAAACAGAAACAUCUAGGAGAUGUUUUCUCAUUAAGUUCUCCUGUUUUGGGAUCCUAGCUCAUAAGAGCGAGUCCUCUGCAGAGGUACUGUUUGUGUUGAGGUAUGAACUUGGUGUGAGUGUCUAGUUUCUUCAUAUUUUUAAAACUAAAAGCAUUUUUGAAAAUAGAACUCAAACUCAUCCUUAUUAACUAAUUCAUUCCACUUUCAUAUCAGGUAUGAUAAAGAUUAAUUCAUGAUCAUAAAAUGUAUUUGCAAGAGGUUAUGAUCCAUACCAGAAUUAUAGCCUUGAUGUUUGUCCUUGUUAAAGAAAAAUCCUGCUUGCUACCAUCCUCAUAUUGUAUGAGAACAUCCACAAGAUCUUCUGGUUCCCUUUCGUGAUCUUUGGCCUUUGACUUUGCCUCUUUAUGUUCAUUGAUGAUGUUUUCCAUUAUGUGAUCGGUUUGUUGAUGUAACCUCUCAAGCUCGGGCCUCAUGCCAGUGACAUGUUGCAGCCAAGUAGCAGAAGGAAACAAAUCUCCAAUGUCAAAACCUCCUGCAACUUUCAUUGAUUUUUUAACCACUGUUAUGAAGUUUUCUUGGUCUUUAUAUUUUUUGCCAAAGGCAGACCUUGAAAUAAUUGUAUAAAUAGAUGAAAGUAGAGCUUGAGUGAGAUUGAUGGGGGAUCCUUUCUCCGAAUCAAUCCAUUUGACAAGAUUGGAGAGCUCGUCUUCUCUAAUUGGUUGGAAUGAGUUGACACGUUUUAGGCUUAAAAGCUCCAGUGUGCAAAUUUUUCUUAGCUGCCUCCAAUAGUAUCCAUAAGGAGAGAAAGCUAUAUCUGUGCAAUUGUAACUGAAUACAUCCACAGUUGGGAGUUUAGGCCGUGUGGCAAAGUUAAUAUCAUGGGUUUUCAUCACUUCCUUAGCACACUCAGGGGUUGAAAUGACAAUAGUAGAAACCUCUCCAAGUUGAAGAUGCAUCAAGGGUCCAUAUUUUAAGGCCAGGUCUCUUAGUUUUCUAUGUGGCUGAGAGGAUAGCAGAUUGUGUAUAUUUCCUAUAAUAGGUAGCUUUGUUGGGCCAGGAGGUAUUUUAGAAGUUGUUUCAUCUCUUUUCCUGGGUUUGUUUCCAAUUUUUUGUACUAUAAGGGUUAAGAAGAUAAAGAAGAGAAGAGCUGAAAAAUAGAGAACUAGUUGAGCCAUGGAGAAGAAGCAGAUUUCUAAUGUGAGUAUGAUGCUAGUAGUGUCUGUUUAUAUUUACACAUUACUCAGCAUUCUUAACUACGUCAUCAUCUUGGUUUGUCCUCUGGAAGUGCCUGCUGUUUUAAAUUUCACAAAGAAAGCAUUUAACCUUAGUUUGGCACAAAUGGAGUUGGUUUCGUUUAGUUCAAUGAAGUCAAUAGCUUUGAACCGAAGAUGUCCUUUUCAUGAAUAAUUAAUUGGAAUCAGUUAAUUUAAUUGACUUUUAUCCAUCCAAGGACACAAAAUACCUGUUGGGAACUAACAGACUAAAUCACUUCGCCUAAGGACUCAAAAUAGACAUAAGAAAAAAUAUGAAAAGAUGCAGAAACAUUACCAACACUUUAAAGAUAGAAACCUUUUUUUUUUUUACAUUUGUCUGGAUAAUUUUUUCUGUAAACAUUUUUAUGAAAAAAAUGAAAUAAAUUUCUUUAAAAGAUAAAACUACCUUGUAAAUAAAUUAAAAUUCUAAUUUUGAAAAAAUAUUCAACGAGAUAACUUGUACAAGUUAAAUCAUAGAUAAUAAAAAAAUCAUUGAAAGCAUAGUUGUAACGUGAAAAGAAAAAAAAUAUCAGAAUCUAAUUUGGCAAAAUAUCAGCGCUACUAAAAAUAGACUAUAUUUAAGGCUGAGAAUAGACUAUAUUCUGGUUCAAACAUUUGGUUACAUUUUUUCUCUACUGCCAAACUUCUUAUAGUUGAAGUUAAAGAAAACAAUUUUUCUUAUAGUUGAAGUUAAAGAAAACAAUUUUUUUUCUAACAUAGCACUGUUUGUGCUUUUAUUUCCCCCAUAUAUGGUUUUGCAUACAAAUUCAUUGAAUUAGUUGAGUUGAAGUUUUAUAAUCAUAGUUUACAGUUAUGUAACAAACAUAAGAGUUUAGAUAGUUAUAACUUUAAAAGAAUACAAAAAUAAUGAAAGAGAUAAUCAUAACUAAUAAUUAUAUUAUGUCUAAAAAUUCUAAUAAGAAUAACAUUAAAUCAAAACAUCACAAAUUUCAAGUUCAAAAUUUAAAAUAACAACAAAACACAAAAGAAAUUGUCUGAUGUUUCUAAUCAUCUGACUCUCCUUCAAUCCUAACACAAUUGUCUUCAAUAUUAUCUAAUGGGGCAUAUCACCCAUCCUCUUUCCCUUCAAAGAAACUCUUAUCAAAGUUAAAUAAUUUUUCAAAUUUAGAAUCAGAGCUAUCAUGUAAUUCAUUCUCAACCCCAGUUUGAAUCUUCUCUUUACCCUUCCUUGUUAGGAUGAAGUUUCAGUUGGACCUUUCUUAGAAGUAUGGGAAGAUCCAAUGACAAUACCACCACCACUUGAUGGUAGUUUUAUUUUACUAGGUGCUUGUCUCCUUAUGUAAUUUAUUGGUUCUCCAAUACGUGAAUCAUCAUAAACAACUGUCAAUUAAGAGUGAGAUCUUCAUAAAAAAAAACAACUCAUUUUCCCCUCUUUAGUAUCAUUAUCAUCAUCAAUUUGUCCCAUUAACCACUCAUUACUCAUCAUGUCAUUGAGUACAAUAGGGUUCAUUUCAUUCCUAGUAUUGUAUCUUUGAGCAAGUUGUUGGUUAUACUACGUAAACCAAAUCAUGCAACAUUUUGUCUUCCAUCUUAUUCUUUUUUUUAAUAAAUUUGCAAGUAUAAUGUGAAUAAAUUUCUUUCUACAUUCUACAAGAUAAUAAUGAAAUGAGUUAUGUCAUGAAAAAUAAUUAUUACUUGCUCAAAUACCUUCAACUACACUCCCAUCUCAAUGAACUACAUGUCAAACUUAAAAUCUUGAUUGUUAACUUUUUACAAGUUGGGAACUACGUACCCAUAAUUCAUCCACCAUUCAACUAUAAAGAAAAAAAAAAGUAACUUAUGAUGUUAUCCGGAUAAAGAUUGUCGGUAAGUCUUUUAAAACUUCCUCUAUCACCUUUAUAAUUUAAAUUUAAUGACUUCGGACUAGUGAAAUUUGAUGAUUUACAGAAUUUUUUUAAAAAUAUCUAAUUUAAAUGUAUCCAUAAUAUAAACAUUUUUUAUUCUUAACGUUGCAUUUCAUUCUAACCCUUAUCAAUUUUAUAUUAAUAAUAAAUAGUAGAAUUGUGCACAACUCUGACGUGACAGUAGGUUCUCUUUUCAUCCAAUUCUUUCUCCACUACAGUGCUAAGGAAGUUUUGUUCUUUCAAGCAUUUAACAAGGGUAAUAAACUUUUUCUUAUUUCUAUCAUUUCAAAGUUUUCAUUUCAGAUUCUCAAUAUCUUUAGUUCAUCAACAAAUAACAAAAGGGUCUUGAUUUCAGGGAGUCUUUUUCUUCAAAUUUUCCUCUGGUCUGCUUCUUUCUUUUCUUGGUUUUCAUGGGGUGGUUUCUUUCUUUCUUGUUUUCCCUAAAGUUUUGCUUUUUCUUCAUUUAGUUUAUGAGUUUUAUAUUCUUGUUUUACUGUUUUGUGCUUUGCAUGUUUAUGUGGAGGGAAAGUUUGUUCUUUCAAGUGUUCUAUUGAAGUUUUUGUUUAUGUGACUUGUUGUGGUACCACUGAUAGAUAUCUGUAACACAAAGUCUCCUUUUGAAAGUCCUAUAGCAAAAGACAUGGAGAUUGCUCCGUAGCACUUUGCCCCAUUUUUCUUUAGUUUUGUACCUUUGAACCCAGUGGUACCUUUGUUUAUGAAGGUCAAGGAGGAAAUCCUAAUGUUAGGAGAAAUAUUUCACUUCGUGAUAAACAAAUUGGAACGAUGAAAUUUGGUGCUGAAAAAUAGCAUGCAAGCUAUAAGUCCCAUGUGGGUUAUAUUGAAAGUGAUGGAAAGUUUGAUGGUGCAUUCAGUUACAAUAGCAGCAAUUCUCAUUACGCAUAUGUUUAUGAUAGUGUGUAUUUGGUGGAUACAAUGAAAAUAGAAAGAGGGAGAUAUGGAAUGCUUGUGUUCAAUUUUGCACUAAAUAGAAUUUUAGGACAACUCCAAACUUGUUUUGCCCUUAAGGAUCAUGGCGAAAAUUCAAGAUUUACUCCUAGGAAGAAACACAACAAACCGAAAGGUUGUGUUGUCGAAAAGGAGGUUGUUCGUGUUAAAGAUCUUUCAGAUGGUCGGAAGAGGUUUAGUAUUAGGGUGGUGACUUCAAGUGAUCGUGUCCAGCUACCCACAUCCUUUAUUUAUGUCGUAAAUAACGUUCACUCAAUGAAGUUCAAGCAGGAAAUUCUUUGUGGCUGUGAAAAAUGGUAGCAAAGGUUGACGUACAAAAAUUGUCUUUCAUUCCCUUCUGGAAGCUUUCUAUGUGAGUAUAUUGGAGAAGUCAGUGCCUAUGGAUAAUGACUAUAUAUUUCACAUGGGUAUGUUCAUGGAUAUUUUCUUUUGUUGUGUUUGGACUUUAUUUAACAGUUUCAGUCUUCUUUUGUAGGUGUUAGAAAGGUCUUCACUUAUGCAAGUAAAUGUGGAAAUGGAGGAAGAUUUACUAAUCAUAGUUGUUCUUCAAAUCUUCGUGUCAAAGAUGUUAUGUAUGAUGACAAUGACAAGAAUCUUCCUCAAAAUGUUGCUUGGUGUAAAGGAUAUUCUUGCUGGAAGAGAACAGACUUAUGAUUAUAAUUCCUUCAAUGGAAACUUGAUCAGGUGUUUUAUUGCAUUGUUGAAUAUAGUACAUAUACUCACAUCAUUGUUUGAUAUGUAUAAGGUCGUUCUGAGUAUGUCAAGGAUGCAAGUAUAUCUAAUGAAGUGUCAAUUAUAAACAUACUAAGGGAACAUAGAAAUAAACAUACUAAGGAAACUUAGAAAUAAGAAUUCUGGUUGAUGAUUUUAUAUAUAAAGUUGUCAUUGACUUUUGUAUAGUAAUAAUUAUGUUCAAUUAUCUCUUGACACUUACACAUCAUCUUGUAUGGUAUGGUUGAUGAUUUCUGCUCUAUCGGCAGAAGUUUUUUCUAUUAUUCUUGGUCUUGAAAGAGCCAGAUGAUAAAUUGGAUUAGAAAAUCUUGUGGCUCGUAAAGUGUCUUGCUAGCUUUUAGAUUCUCCAUAUCUCACUUCUUUCUAAUAGAUUAUGUUUUGUAGAGAUAAGAAUCAUCUCCUUUACUUUGGAUUCUCCUGGUUUUGGGGUUUUUCUUUUUUAUCAUGAGUUUUAGCUUAGUCCACUCAUGAUUUGUAUUUCUGUAUUCUUAAUGUGGCUUUGCAUGUCAACCCUGUUUAAAAAAAUCAUAUGGGCCACGGUAAAAAAAUGUUUGUAAGGUCAAAAGGCCCAAAUAAAAAAAAUUGGUAGGGCUAAAACGCCCACAAAAGCCCCAUGGGUGAGGGCCAACCCAUGAUCAUUUUUUUAAAAGUGAGUGUAUAGUUAAAUAUAUGAUCAAUCCAAAUCCAAAAAAAUAUGGAGUGUAGGAGAAGGUAUGGAGGUUUAGGGAGAAUUCACCAAACAUGAAGGUUCAUGUUAUCAAUUGCUUGCUUUAAUUGUGGGAUAAGCGUACACAAAUUCUCCUUGCACCUCGACAAGUUCUUCCUGUACCUCCAUAUAAUUUUUAAAUACCAAAUCUAUCCUUGGCAAUAUAUGUUAGGGUUUUGGUUGAGUUUGUGAGUUGUUCUUCAUUUUGAGGGUUCUCAUUCAUUGCAGUGGAGUUUGUGGGUGGUUCUUGGGGGUUGUGGUUGGAGGUGGCUGUUGAAGGAGGUGAACGUUAGUUGCAGAGGUGAGUUGUGCAUUUCUUUUCAUGGCUUUCGUUCGCAUUUUUAAUUUUCGUUUUCUUCUUGUAUAUUGGAUUGCAAAAGUCAUAAGUCAUAACACCUCCAAUUAUCUGCUGAAUUGUGCAAUCUGGUAUACAAUGUUGGAUCCGGUUGGUGCUUCCGAAUUGAACAAUCUGGUAUUCAUUUGCUAAUAACAUACCAAAUUGUUCAAUUCAAUUUGUAUACCUUGAGUCCAGUAAUACAUAUACAAUCUGAUAUGUUAUUGAAAAAUGAAUACCAAAUUGUACAAUUGGAUAUGUAUACCAUCCACAUUCAUACUGAAUUAUACAUUACUGUUUAAACAAAAUAAAGUUAAGCUACCACCAGAAUAGAAAAAAAAAUGAACUUACAUUCACUGUAGUGCUUCCUUCAACCUGUGUCAAACCUCGCCCUCCAUCAAAUUGACUUGAAAAAUGAAAGCUCUUGGACAACAAUGGAGGAGGUGUGACAUCUGUGAAGAAAUAAAGGGUGCGCCGGUUCACAACAAUAGCAAAUAAAAGGGUGCAGUGUGAGGUUAAGAGAAAAGUAAAGUUUUUAAAAUUUUAAAUAAAGGCAAAAUUGGAAUAUCACAUAGAUGAAUAAUGGAGCUGCAUGAGCACCCAUUGAGGUGCAGGGAGAAUUUGCCCAAAAAUAACAGCAGUAACUUGUAUUUUUAUAUACUGCAAUUCAUGUUUAAACACACUUAAAUAACAGAAUAAAAGAUCAUGCUUCUUGACUUUAUGAACUCCUACUGAUCAUGAAAAGUAAUAUAAAAACUUAAAUCAUCCACUACACACAAAAUGACGGACUUUUUUCUCAAGUUAUUCAAAGAUUAAAACUGCUAUGAUAGCAUAAGAGUGCACGACCUCAAUAUCACCAAAGGUUUCAAGUUCUCAGUCUGAAAUUCAUGGGACAGGCAGAGGAAGAUAAGGAAAAGGAACCAAGAACAGAUCAUGCUUUCUUCUAACUGCGAUUCCAAACUCUUCACUCAUGUCCAAUUCUUCACUUAUCAUUCCACUUGGAAGCUUCCAAUCAAAGUGAUAUAACAACAUUGCAAGGGUCACUUCGACAACUCUGGAUGAAAAUGUGCUUCCAGGGCAUAUCCUUCUUCCAGCUCCGAAAGGAAUGAACUCAAAAUUAUUCCCUUUGUAGUCAACAGUGCUGUCGAUGAACCUCUCGGAUAAAACUUCUCUGGUUCAGUCCAAUAGUUUGAAUCUCUUCCAAUUGCCCAAGCAUUGACUAUGACCUUGCUUUUGGCUGGUAUGUUAUAGCCAUGUAUCUCACAUGUUUGACCACAUUCUCUUGGAAGCAAAAGAGGAAGUGGAGGGUGUAAUCUCAAGGUCUCUUUCACAACUAGUUUCAAAUAUUUGAGUUCGUUGAUGCAAUUUUCAUCAACCCUUCGUUUCAUGUUGAAUACCUCUCUAACCUCAGCUUGUGCUUUUCUCAUUAUUCUUGAAUCCUUUAUUAUUUCA